UCANUCCAUAAUUUAUAAAACAGGUUACGAUUUGGUAGAUUUUACACCUACCCAUUUUUUGGAAAUGAAAGAUAUAAACAAUAGAAAUAUUAAAUCAWURGAAAUAUUAAAUCUUUACUUUAUCUUUAUCCAAAAAAAUUUUUGGUGNAAAAAAUUAUUUAUAAUCCNUAUUUUUCAAAAUAAAAAAAAAANCUGAAAAAANUGGAGAAUUUCUACUACUUAGUUUAGAAAAAAAAANUCGUCUUUUUUCUAUAUUAAUUUUUAAAAAUUAACGAGAAUCAAGUGUAUUAAUCCUCUAGGUAUACUUACGCAAUAUACCUUUAUUUAUAUUAUAUUUUNAUAAACCUCCUGGUAUACUUACCCNAAUAGAGAYAUUUUAGAGACUACUAUACUCUAGUAGUAUAUUUUUUUCCUUACCCAAUAUAUUAGUCUAAAAAACUAAUAUAUUGGGUAUAUUGGGUAUUUAUCAAAUUAAUAUUCAAAUUUUUAAUAUAAUGAACAAUUCAAAAGAUCUA
rnacentral:misc_RNA from 1 species